rnacentral:tRNA from 1 species
GGCCCCGUAGUUUAAUGGAUAAAACGGAGGUUUCCGGUACCUCUGAUGGCAGUUCGAUUCUGCCCGGGGCUACUA